rnacentral:lncRNA from 1 species
UGUUAGAUUUAACGUAUCCUUGUUUUGGGCAGCUUCUGGGAUGUUUCCAAGAUAUUUGCGGAUUUGGGCAAUAAGUUUUAUUAUUUAAAAAGUUUAUUUUAGUUCUGCAGCCUUUUCAUAGCAGUGCAAAGUACUUUUGACUUUAUUAAUGUUAAUUUUUAUCAAAGUUAAUUUGUUUAAUUAUUUUCUUGGUUAUGAAAAAUGAUUUAAUAUAAAUAUAUUAAGGUAUUAAACUGCAUGAAUUAUUUUUGUUUAAUUAAACUUUUAUUAUCAUAAAAAUGUUCAAGGUUAGUUUAAGGAAUUAUUUGGAAAUCGGAAAAAUGGAAAUUGAUCCCUCUUAGAGAUAUUGGCUAUAAAACAAAUUCAAAAUAGUGAAUUUUGAGUUUUAUAAUGCUAUUUUGUUGAGAUAUCUCAGCACCACAAAAAACACCAAGUUUGUUUAUGCUGCAUUUAUACUUCUUGUAUUGAAGCUGCAUACCUAAAAAUUUCAAAUUUUUAAUUCACUGUAUAUUGUGCCAAUUUUCGGGCCGUAAAUUGACUAAUAAGUUCCCUGAAAUAGACUAAGUCUUUAAUAUUUGAAAUUAUUUCGAAAAGAAAAAAUUAUUUGUUAUUAAGUUGAAAUUCUGAAGAAAUAUUUUUGGUCUAUAAAACCUACAGGAGGUAUACAUUUCAAGAAAAUAAAACAUCGUCACGCGAGAAGGCUUGGCUCAUCUUAUAUGGAAUGACCCUAUUAUAUGCUUAUGAUAUAUAAACUUUAUACUAUAAUAGUAUGAUUAUUGUAUUAUAUUACAUGAUAUUUUUAUAAUAAAUUUUUUCUAGUAAUAUAAUAUAAAUUAGUGUAGUAUUAUUAAACUAAUUAAAUUGUGCCAAAUAAUGUUGUUUAAUAAUGUUGUUUAAUACUUGUGUAAUAAUGGUGUUUACCUCUUACCGUCUGACCUGUCUGUUUAUUAUUACUGUUUUUAACAUUAAUUUUGUAUUGCAAGUAUUAAAAAAUGUUAAAUAUACUAUUUGUAAAAUUAAAGUAGUAUAAACUAAUAAUAACUGCUUUACUUAUUUCUUCAAUAGUUAAUAGUUGAAAAUAAUAAAGGCUGUUGUUGUCAAAUUUCUUUGAGAAAGAAAAUUGUUAUUGCUUGUAAUAUUACUGACAUUUUAACUAAUGUGUGAUUCACUACAUGAAUACUUAUGCCAAAGUUUAUAUGGUCCACAAGUUAUCUUUAA